UCUCCAUGGCUUUUCCUUAAAACACUAACGCUUUCACAUGUAUUCGUUGCAAUCCAACUUUGAUUUUUACAAGUUUUUUCCCUUUUUCUUUAGAAACUUGUACUCAAUCGACGGCCAGAUUUCUCCGCCUGUCGCCUAUUACAGCCCAGGUAAUUUGCAAGAUCAGUCUCAGCAUCCUCCCUAUAUACCAUCUCCUUUUCAUGUAGUGGGGUUUGUUCCGAGUCCAGCUCCUGUGGCUGAUGGCACUGAUGAGGGAGUUGAUUUGCAAUGGAAUUAUGGACUGGAACCCAACAGAAAGAAGUUGAAGGAGCAAGAUUUUUUGGAGAAUAAUUCACGAAUUUAAUCCGUUGAUUUCUUGCAAGCAUGAUCGGUUUCAACUGGGUUAGGCUUGUCACUUGACAAUACCCCUGUUUCAUCUUCUGGUGACUCCACUUUAAUAUCUCUCAUUGGUGAUAAUGUUGAGCGGGAAUUUCAGUGACAGGACGCAGAGAUUGAUAGAUUCCUCAAAGUUCAGUUACGUGUUUAAAGAAUUUAACUGCUUGUUAACAUAAUAGCACAGUACUGGAGAUACAGAGCGUGAUUCCAGUAGACCCCAAUCCAGGUGAGGAUCAAAUCUGUGAGUGUCCUCUGUCACCUCACAGCUACAGUGUAUUGGUAGGACACUAGUUUAUAUUUUUGUAUUUUGAAAUUUUUGUAAAUUGUGUAAUUAAUCUUUUA